UGGUGCACCCAAUGCUGGUGAGUGGC
rnacentral:piRNA from 1 species